ACGCUCGACACCUACGGGGGCAGCAGUGGGGAAUAUUGCACAAUGGGGGAAACCCUGAUGCAGCGACGCCGCGUGAGCGAAGAAGUAUCUCGGUAUGUAAAGCUCUAUCAGCAGGGAAGAAGAUCGACGGUACCUGACUAAGAAGCACCGGCUAAAUACGUGCCAGCAGCCGCGGUAAUCUGAGGCGGGCUGGCAAGGC
rnacentral:rRNA from 1 species